AACAUGUGGUUAAUUCGAUGAUACGCGAGGAACUUACCUGGGCUUAAAUGUAGAGUGCAUUUUCUAGAGAUAGGAAUUCCCUUCGGGGCUUUCUACAAGGUGCUGCAUGGUUGUCGUCAGCUCGUGCCGUGAGGUGUCGGGUUAAGUCCCAUAACGAGCGCAACCCUUAUCGUUAGUUGCCAUCUGGUAAAGCAGGGGACUCUAGCGAAACUGCCACCGUAAGGUGAGAGGAAGGUGGGGAUGACGUCAAAUCAGCACGGCCCUUAUGUCCAGGGCUACACACGUGUUACAAUGGUCGGUACAGAGGGCAGCUACCUGGUGACAGGAUGCUAAUCUCGAAAACCGGCCUCAGUUCGGAUCGAAGUCUGCAACUCGACUUCGUGAAGCUGGAUUCGCUAGUAAUCGCGCAUCAGCCAUGGCGCGGUGAAUACGUUCCCGGGCCUU
rnacentral:rRNA from 1 species